UACGUAGGUGGCAAGCGUUGUCCGGAUUUACUGGGCGUAAAGAGCGCGCAGGCGGUCGUUCAAGUCGCGUGUGAAAGCCCCCGGCUCAACUGGGGAGGGUCACGCGAUACUGAUCGACUCGAAGGCAGGAGAGGGUAGUGGAAUUCCGGGUGUAGUGGUGAAAUGCGUAGAUAUCCGGAGGAACACCAGUGGCGAAGGCGACUUUCUGGCCUGUUCUUGACGCUGAGGCGCGAAAGCUAGGGGAGCAAACGGG
rnacentral:rRNA from 1 species